GGGGUAUUCUUUUUCAUUAGUCAGAGGUGAAAUUCUUGGAUUUAUGAAAGACGAACAACUGACUAAAGCUAUUUGGCCAAGGAUUGUUUUCUAUUAAUCAAGAAACGAAAGGUUGGGGGCCUCGAAGACGAUCAGAUACCGUCCUAGUCUCACAUAACGAUGCACAGGANNGNGNUGUGUCCUUAGUCCCUCGUGUGCCUCGUCUCCAGACUCGACGUCGUUCGGUCGGGGGAGUAUGGUUGCAAGGCUGAAACUUAAAGGAAUUGACGGAAGGGCGGUCGACGCGGCCG
rnacentral:rRNA from 1 species